UCUUGUGAAAUAAGAUGUGUUCAGAAUGGUGAAAUAAGGCUAUGGUUCAAAAUUCACGUAAAUCGGGUAAAGUCUCGGUGCCGAUAGUAGCGGUCAACCCUAUUUACCGUUAUUAUUCCCUAUGGGGAGCCCUAUCGUCGGAAUGUAAAUAUCUCAAAAUUUUUAUAUAAACGGUUGCGUCUCAUCUACGUGAAAGUUUUUCGUGUGGAAAGUUUGAUCAAACUACGUAAUACAGAGGGAGAUAUGAGGGUUUUCGUGAAUUUAUAGACUUUAGCCGACGAGAUAUUAAAAAAGUCGGCGGCUAAGGUCAAAAAUUUUGGGCGGUAAUUUUCAAAGGUCUUUAGCCGACGAAAAUAUAUGAUUUUGUCGGCUAAAGUCGAAAAAUUUUCAAAAUUUUCAACCAAAAUUUUUUUGCGGUCAACCAAAAUUUUCAAAAGAGUUUAGCCGACGAAAAUAAAUAAUUUCGUCGGCUAAAGUUCUUUAUAUUGGAGUUUUACCGAAGGUGGAUGGUAAGAAGUCUAUUUCGCCUGCUAGAUUUUCUUCUUGGCCUAGCUCCGCCGUCAAGCCACCGGAGACCGCCACACUUGUCCCAAAAGCUUCGUCGUCGUCUCUACUUCAUUGCUUGACAGGUGGUGCAUCGAGUGGCGCCGCGGUGAGGGAUAAAUCGAGCUCCAAAACUCCGCCGGUUCGGAUUCGGUGUCGAUUGAAUUUCUCCUUCCUCAGGUCACCAUUUGGUGAGUUCUAUAUAUGGAUAAGUUGAGUUUAAUUAGACCUACAUUCCCUUAGAAUUUGGUAGCUCGAUUCGGUGUGUGUGAGGAGAGUCGAAGAUUUGAAGUUUUUAGGGUUUAAAAUUGGGGAUUUUUAUAUUUUGAUUCAAUUGACCUGUUUAGGCUUACAAUUGGGCUUCAACUUCUUUUAGAAAGUUGUUCGAAAUGUUGAGAGGAAGAUUAUGUCAAAUUUUGGUGGUGAUUGGAGGUGGUCGGAAGUUUCUGUAGUUUUUUUUUUCAAAAACAAACAACUUUAGCCGACGAUAUUUAAAUACUAUAUUCGUCGGCUAUAG
rnacentral:lncRNA from 1 species